rnacentral:lncRNA from 1 species
AAAUUUUGAACUUCAGGCCAAAGCCACAUAUUCUCAUGGUAUGGACAUUUUUACAAUUUUCUGUACACAUUUCGGGACUUCAAGCCCUUACAUAAUUGUCUAUAUUUUGAGGAACUUCUGGCAUCUCAUUUAAUUGCUCAUCCAUGAGUUUAAGGAACUGCAGGUUCCCUUUUGUAUAUAGUGACGGUUUACCCAAAAUGGUUAAUAUUUAUGCAUACGUCACUAUUCAUGUGAAUAGUACUAUUCAUCAAGUCAUGAAUACGUAUCUAUUCAUGUGUACAGUACAUCUGCCAGUACAGUUAUCAUCCAUGUGUACGGCACUAUGAACCAAUACGGUACUGUUACAUCAUUAAGGAACUCUAGGUCCUUAUUUACAUGUCAGGGAUCAAGGACCCUUAAGUCCAAUCACAUGUUUACAAAUACAGUACCGGAGAGACUGCCAGCUCUCAUAUUAAUAUCAUCAUCAAGGAUCUUCAAGUCCUGAUUGAUAAGGUCAUAAUUUCACACAUUUGCAUGCCUUCCUUGCUUAGUAAUUUUGUUUAGUUUCUCUUUAUUUUGAGUCUCUUACCUAUGUUUGUGUGUUUUGUAGGUUAGGACAGCAAAGGGGAUCACAUUUGAUGCAAUUCAUGCAUGUUAAGGGUUGAUUGGCACAAGAGGAAUAUGAGCUUAAUGACAGAACCAAUUUGGGCCACACUCCUUGUCAGUCCAAAUUCGUGGGUCAUCUUGCAGGCCUCAUUUCAGCAACCUACACUACUUUGAUGAGGAGACAUGCUUCCCAGAAGUUGUUCCAAUGGGUGUCUAGUAUAACAUAUCCAAAUUUCAGCCCAAUUAAUGAUAGCUAGAAUCCUUGGCCUGUCAAACACUGAACCAUGAUCUAGGAGGAUUUUAAUAUGUAGCUGCCAGCUGGUGAGCCUUGUGCUCCACACCUCCCUUGAGCCAUGUGCCUCACUUCAUCAUUGUUUGACUUUGGACCUGACAUGUUGAGCAAAUUAGGGAGGCAUUUCAGCUAUGGAAGUCAAAAAGGAGCAAAACAUGGCAUGCUUAAUUAUGGGGAUCUUGUCUGCACAAAUCAAGGACCAUUUUCCAGGAAUUCUGGUAGGCUACACAUGGGAGACAAAUCAGUAUGGGAAGUCAAAAAGAUGAACAAAAGUCAAGCUUUCCAUAAAGAAACCAAGAAAAGUCCACCAAAGCAUUUAUUGGGCAGCUGGAAAAGUUGGCAUUUAUUGGGCAGCUUAGGCAAUUGGGAGCAGCUAAGAGAGGUGUGUUUCACCAGCCAAAGGGGAGCACGAAAUUGCACUCUAUAAAUAGAGAGUUGCACACUCAUUCAAAGGGGGAGGGUAGACACACACAUUCAUUUCAUCCAUUACUCUCAUACACACAUUCAGAUUCACCACAAAGAGAGAAGGGAGCUUGGAGCUGUCCUGGGAACUUCCUUGCUGCCACCAUCUAGUUCUUCUCCUCUCUUUAUCCUAUCUAUGUAUUUCUUAUUUUCUGUAUUCAUAGUUAUGUCUAACUAAUCCAUUUAGUUAGGGCUUAGGAUGAAGCCCUAGUCAUGAAUAUUUAAUGUUAUGGAUGAUUUUAUGGUUAAUUGAUUUCCUUGCUUUUAUUAUCAAGUUGUUAACCUCCAGUUUAUUAUGUGCUUGAUGUAUGUUUUCUUGGAGUAGCUAACUAGGAUUUUAUGCAUCUAGCACAGGUUGGGAAGGGGUUUAGAUUCACCAAUUCUACUCUCCUUUCACAAGCAACAUAUGAAUGGCCUAAGAAUCAUUCAAGGGGUUAAUAACCAUAGGUUGACUAGGACAGAUACCAUGUUCUAGGACUUGUGUGAUUAUCAUAUUCUCAAGGAGCUUAAUGACUCUUGUAUGCUUUAUUCUAAGUAGAUACCAUGCUUAGGUUGCAUAUUAGAGAUCACGUGUUGUGUAGAUACCAUGCACAAUCACAUGCCUUAGGAGAAUGAUGCAUCCUGCACCUAGAUACCAUAGGCUUGUAUGCGAUAAUCUAUUGUUGAUGAAGCUUGAGUCAAUUUCUAUGCAUUCAUAACUUGGAUAGGAAGACUAGUGGCAGAUUCCAAGGCUCUAACACCUCUCCAUCAUUGUUUCACAACUUGUUCAUUGCUGCUAGUGUUUACUUUCGAGCACUUUCAUUUCACUUUCUUCUUUUCAUUUGAACAACAAAACCCCUCAUCUUGAGUGCGUGUGUGGUGCUAGGAUUCUGUCCUAGACCUUGAGUAAUUAGCAAGAGGCAUUGUUGAAUUCGACCAUGCCUUUAGCUAGUUAGUCAGUUUCUUUGUUCUAUGUUUUUCUAGCAUUAUAAGUAAUUUAACUUGGAACCAAGUUACCAUUCUCCGUGGGAUCGACCUCGUAUUUACAUAAGCUAUACUAUAAACGGUUCGUGCACUUGCGAGAAUUAAAGGUGCUGUUUUUAAUAACUUAUUUUAGUUGUUAAGAAUAGGCUCAACACUGAUGUAAUUGUAUGAUGAGGAUCAAAGAACUUCUGGUCCUGAUCUGCAUACUGUAAAAACUCAUCAUACAGCACAAUUAAUCCAUAAAAUAAAUUGCUGAUAAAUAAAUUACUAGUGUGGACGAUAAACCCGCACCAUACUUUAAAUAAAUGUAAAUGUGCGGUAAAAUAAAUUCAUAAAUUAAAUUGCUUGCUGUAUGGACGUUAAUCCCGCACCAUACCUUAAAUAAAAUUAAAUGUGCGGUAAAUUAAAUUCGUAAAGUAAACGUGCUUGUAUGGGCACUAAUUCUGCUCCAUACAUUUAAAUAAAAGCAAAGGCGUGGACGAUAAACCCGCACCACCCUUUAAAUAAAUAUUGCCGUAUGGGUAAUAAACCUACACCAUACCAUAAAUAAUACUUUAAGUAAAAGUAAAUUUGUGAUAAAGUAAACGUGCUUGUAUGGGCACUAAUUCUGCUCCAUACAUUUAAAUAAAAGCAAAGGCGUGGACGAUAAACCCGCACCACCCUUUAAAUAUUGCCGUAUGGGUAAUAAACCUACACCAUACCAUAAAUAAAAUAAAUGUUGGGAUAAAAACCUCCACCUAAUAUAUAUGAAGUGCAUAAUAUAUUAUAUAGUGUGGGCAAUAUAACUGCGCCACUAUUCAAGAUAUAAUAGAUGGGUUUUAAGAUCACACCAUCAUUUUAUUACAAUAAUUUGUAUUACAACGCGAUGGGUAAAAAUUACACCACCAUAAAAUAACAGGACUGAUUAAACAACAUAAAAAUUAUAAAUUACGUUACAAAGAAGUAAAUUAAACAAGCAUGGAUUAAACAACAUAGAAAUUGUGAGAACACAAAAAAGAAAGUUUGCAUGUCGUUGUAGUAGUAAAGUGAGAGUAGACAUAUGACAGAGAGGAGACAGAGAAGUAACCACAUAGUGUUGAGUUGGAAAAAUUUCAGAAAUAAAAGGAGAGACUAUCGUGCUGAUAACGUGUUAUAAAAAUAACCUGAAAUAUGUAUGAAUAUUGAGCUGCACGUAAAGUAGAUGAGACACAGCAUUUAACGAGGUUCGGCUAUGCCUACGUCCUCGGAGAGCAGCAGCAGUAACUUUUCACUAUAUAAAAUAAUAUGGCUACAACUUUAGUGUUUACAACAUGUGUGGUUCACUGAAUUUUCUCUCUAGGAGAAUUUCUCUCUGCUCUCUCUUUCCUCUUUCUUCCUUCUCUUCCUCUUGUCUCUUUCCUUUUCUCUCUUUCCUCUUCUCUCUUUCCUCUCUUCUCUUUCCUCUCUUUGUUUCUUUCCGUUUCCCUUUCUCUUCUUUUCUCUUUUCCCUUCUUUCUUUCCUCUUUUCUCUUCUCUUCUAUCUCUAUCUUCUUUCUCUGAUGUGGUCUUAUUUAUAGGCUGAGAAAGGAUACGCGUGAGUGUACCCGUGAGUGUGCAGGUGAUAAGCUUCCAAAAUAUUUUGCUUAAUUUCUUUGUGGGUCCCAUACAUGUGGGCUCCACAUGUUUAUUCUUUACAACAUUAUUCUUAUUUUAUAUAAGUUUUUUUGCUUUUUUGUUGGGUCAAUAUUGUUUGAUGAUAUAAUUGUAUGAAAUCC